AGUGAACGCUGGCGGUAGGCCUAACACAUGCAAGUCGAACGGCAGCACAGUAAGAGCUUGCUCUUACGGGUGGCGAGUGGCGGACGGGUGAGGAAUACAUCGGAAUCUACUUUUUCGUGGGGGAUAACGUAGGGAAACUUACGCUAAUACCGCAUACGACCUAUGGGUGAAAGCAGGGGAUCUUCGGACCUUGCGCGAUUGAAUGAGCCGAUGUCGGAUUAGCUAGUUGGCGGGGUAAAGGCCCACCAAGCCGACGAUCCGUAGCUGGUCUGAGAGGAUGAUCAGCCACACUGGAACUGAGACACGGUCCAGACCCCUACGGGAGGCAGCAGUGGGGAAUAUUGGACAAUGGGCGCAAGCCUGAUCCAGCCAUACCGCGUGGGUGAAGAAGGCCUUCGGGUUGUAAAGCCCUUUUGUUGGGAAAGAAAAGCAGCAGGUUAAUACCCCGCUGUUCUGACGGUACCCAAAGAAUAAGCACCGGCUAACUUCGUG
rnacentral:rRNA from 1 species